rnacentral:rRNA from 1 species
UACGUAGGGUGCAAGCGUUAAUCGGAAUUACUGGGCGUAAAGCGUGCGCAGGCGGUUAUGUAAGACAGGUGUGAAAUCCCCGGGCUUAACCUGGGAACUGCAUUUGUGACUGCAUAGCUAGAGUACGGUAGAGGGGGAUGGAAUUCCGCGUGUAGCAGUGAAAUGCGUAGAUAUGCGGAGGAACACCGAUGGCGAAGGCAAUCCCCUGGACCUGUACUGACGCUCAUGCACGAAAGCGUGGGGAGCAAACGAG